CGUUCCACCCCAUCACCAGGACAAUAGGGGUGGGACCAGCAGUCUUCAUUUCCACAACGUAUCCCGUGGCCCUUGGGCGACUUUUCCUGCGCUCCUCCCCCAAUACGAUAUUCUCCCCUAGGGAAUAAAUAGAGAAACAGAGGAGGAAGCAGGAAAAUAGUCAAUCAUGUAAGAACCAGUGGGAAACAUUUUAUGAGGGAUUGGAUAGAGACAGAGAAAGAUUAUACUGGAAAUUGUUGAAAAGAAGAUUCUCCCAUAAAUAAUACUUUGCUGAAAUGAUAACUGACAGCACUCAGCCAGGAUUGAAACUAAGAAUAGCACAUCAUUGGAGGCUUCAGCCUUUUCACAGGACUUGCAAUGUCUAUAGAGCAUAAACUGAUGGGAGGGAAGAUAAACGCUGUACUUGGUUUGUAUUGGAUAAAAACAAGAAUGUAAGCAUCACCCCAUGGGGACCCAGUACUGGGGAGAUGCUUUUCUACCCUGGUACC